rnacentral:rRNA from 1 species
GGGUAGCAAUACCUGGCGGCGACCGGCAAAACGGGUGAGGAACAUGUACGCAACCUUUCCUUUAACUGGAGAAUAGCCCCUCGAAAGAGGGAUUAAUACUCCGUAACAUAAUGAAGUGGCAUCACUUUAUUAUUAUAGCUCCGGCGGUUAAAGAUGGGCGUGCAACUGAUUAGAUAGUUGGCGGGGUAACGGCCCACCAAGUCUGCGAUCAGUAACUGGUGUGAGAGCACGACCAGUCACACGGGCACUGAGACACGGGCCCGACUCCUACGGGAGGCAGCAGUAAGGAAUAUUGGUCAAUGGACGCAAGUCUGAACCAGCCAUGCCGCGUGGAGGAUUAAGGCCCUCUGGGUUGUAAACUCCUUUUAUCUGGGAAGAAAUGCUUUGAUUCUUCAGAGCUUGACGGUACCAGAGGAAUAAGCACCGGCUAACUCCGUGCCAGCAGCCGCGGUAAUACGGAGGGUGCAAGCGCUAUCCGGAUUCACUGGGUUUAAAGGGUGCGUAGGCGGACAGAUAAGUCAGUGGUGAAAUCUCCGAGCUUAACUCGGAAACUGCCGUUGAUACUAUUUGUCUUGAAUAUUGUGGAGGUAAGCGGAAUAUGUCAUGUAGCGGUGAAAUGCUUAGAUAUGACAUAGAACACCAAUUGCGAAGGCAGCUUACUACACAAUGAUUGACGCUGAGGCACGAAAGCGUGGGGAUCAAACAGGAUUAGAUACCCUGGUAGUCCACGCCCUAAACGAUGAUUACUCGACAUACGCGAUACACUGUGUGUGUCUGAGCGAAAGCAUUAAGUAAUCCACCUGGGAAGUACGACCGCAAGGUUGAAACUCAAAGGAAUUGACGG